rnacentral:rRNA from 1 species
UACAGAGGGUGCAAGCGUUGUUCGGAAUUAUUGGGCGUAAGGCGCGUGUAGGCGGCUUGGCAAGUCGGGUGUGAAAUCCCUCAGCUCAACUGAGGAAGUGCGCCCGAAACUGCUUUGCUUGAGUGCCGGAGAGGAUGGCGGAAUUCCCCAAGUAGAGGUGAAAUUCGUAGAUAUGGGGAGGAACACCGGUGGCGAAGGCGGCCAUCUGGACGGUAACUGACGCUGAGACGCGAAAGCGUGGGUAGCAAACAGG